AAAAAAAAACGUGUACAAAUCUUUAUCUAUAUCUGUAAAUUCUGAUUUUUGCAUUCUUGACCUUAGCGUUGAACCCGGUAUAACCACGAAAAGUGUCAACAAAAAUGCAUAUGGUUCAUAAAAAAGUUCUUUUGUAUAAAUAAUGGUUCAGGGUAAAAAAUUGACGUCGUACUUAGUAGACAUAAUAACCGAUCAUAACCCCGGAUUAAACUAUGACAGAUGUAUAUAUGCAGGAAACCCGUUUUUACGCAAACAAACUCUCGUAAAUUUGAUUUAUUUUCAAUCUGAAGUUUAUAUAUAUGUAUGUGUUUACAUGUUUUCUCUCAACCUACGGCUAGUGAUGUGUAUUGGAAUCCAUCCAUCAUUUCAGUGUAGGAAAUGUCAUCCUGCAAUACACAACUGGACUAUGUGUGACGUAAAGCGACAGUCGUUCGUCAUCUUGCUUCAUAAAACUUACAUAGGUGCCAUCAUAGUCGCCUGCCUGACCGCG
rnacentral:lncRNA from 1 species